CAGACACAUGGACCAAUGGAAUAGAAUAGAAACCCCAGAACUAGACCCACAAACAUAUGGCCAACUCAUCUUUGACAAAGCAGGAAAGAACAUCCAAUGGAAAAAAGACAGUCUCUUCAACAAAUGGCGAUGGAAAAACUGGAUAGCAACAUGCAUAA